GAUGAAGAACGUAGCGAAAUGCGAUAAGUAGUGUGAAUUGCAGAAUUCAGUGAAUCAUCGAAUCUUUGAACGCACAUUGCGCCCCUUGGUAUUCCAUGGGGCAUGCCUGUUCGAGCGUCAUUUAAACCUUCAAGCUAAGCUUGGUGUUGGGUGACUGUCCGCUUCACUGCGGACUCGCCUCAAAAUUAUUGGCGGCCGGUACAUUGGCUUCGAGCGCAGCAGAAACGCGAACUCGGGCCCGUCGUAUUGGCUCCCAGAAGCUAUCUUCACAAUUUUGACCUCGGAUCAGGUAGGGAUACCCGCUGAACUUAAGCAUAUCAAUAAGCGGAGGA
rnacentral:misc_RNA from 1 species